rnacentral:rRNA from 1 species
AACGAACGCUGGCGGCAUGCCUAACACAUGCAAGUCGAACGAGACCUUCGGGUCUAGUGGCGCACGGGUGCGUAACGCGUGGGAACCUGCCCUUAGGUUCGGAAUAACUCCCCGAAAGGGGUGCUAAUACCGGAUAAUGUCUUCGGACCAAAGAUUUAUCGCCUUUGGAUGGGUCCGCGUUGGAUUAGCUAGUUGGUAGGGUAAAAGCCUACCAAGGCGACGAUCCAUAGCUGGUCUGAGAGGAUGAUCAGCCACACUGGGACUGAGACACGGCCCAGACUCCUACGGGAAGCAGCAGUGGGGAAUAUUGGACAAUGGGCGAAAGCCUGAUCCAGCAAUGCCGCGGGAGUGAUGAAGGCCUUAGGGUUGUAAAGCUCUUUUACCCGGGAUGAUAAUGACAGUACCGGGAGAAUAAGCUCCGGCUAACUCCGUG